rnacentral:rRNA from 1 species
AGUGGCGCACGGGUGCGUAACGCGUGGGAAUCUGCCCCUUGGUUCGGAAUAACAGUUAGAAAUGACUGCUAAUACCGGAUGAUGACUUCGGUCCAAAGAUUUAUCGCCAAGGGAUGAGCCCGCGUAGGAUUAGGUAGUUGGUGGGGUAAAGGCCUACCAAGCCGACGAUCCUUAGCUGGUCUGAGAGGAUGAUCAGCCACACUGGGACUGAGACACGGCCCAGACUCCUACGGGAGGCAGCAGUGGGGAAUAUUGGACAAUGGGGGAAACCCUGAUCCAGCAAUGCCGCGUGAGUGAUGAAGGCCUUCGGGUCGUAAAGCUCUUUUACCAGGGAUGAUAAUGACAGUACCUGGAGAAUAAGCUCCGGCUAACUCCGUGCCAGCAGCCGCGGUAAUACGGAGGGAGCUAGCGUUGUUCGGAAUUACUGGGCGUAAAGCGCACGUAGGCGGUUACUCAAGUCAGAGGUGAAAGCCCGGGGCUCAACCCCGGAACAGCCUUUGAGACUAGGUGACUGGAAUCUUGGAGAGGCGAGUGGAAUUCCGAGUGUAGAGGUGAAAUUCGUAGAUAUUCGGAAG